rnacentral:rRNA from 1 species
GAAUUUUGGACAAUGGGGGCAACCCUGAUCCAGCAAUGCCGCGUGAGUGAAGAAGGCCUUCGGGUUGUAAAGCUCUUUUGUUAGGGAAGAAACGGCGGGAGCUAAUACCUUCUGCUAAUGACGGUACCUGAAGAAUAAGCACCGGCUAACUACGUGCCAGCAGCCGCGGUAAUACGUAGGGUGCAAGCGUUAAUCGGAAUUACUGGGCGUAAAGCGUGCGCAGGCGGCUUUGCAAGACAGGUGUGAAAUCCCCGGGCCUAACCUGGGAACUGCAUUUGUGACUGCAUGGCUAGAGUUUGUCAGAGGGGGGUGGAAUUCCACGUGUAGCAGUGAAAUGCGUAGAGAUGUGGAAGAACACCGAUGGCGAAGGCAGCCCCCUGGGAUGUGACUGACGCUCAUGUACGAAAGCGUGGGGAGCAAAC